rnacentral:lncRNA from 1 species
UUAUGAGCAGAAUGGAGUUCCAUUUGAAGCAAGGACAACUUUCUCCAUAGGGAGGAAAAUAAAGUUAUGGAACAUCUAAAUAGAUUGCGAGAAUGCAAAACCAUGAGAUGUACUCAGAGGUGCUGGACAAUGUCAUUGGAACUAAUCCUUGAUUAUCUUUGAAGUGUUGUAGCAAUUGGAGAACAUUCUUGAGGACUGUAAUAAUCCAGGACUGCAUUACUGCUGUACUCAGGCAGAGAGAGAAAGAAGAUCUGGGGAAACUAGAAACCUGUCAUGCUCACAAUAGGAAAGUGAUAGAGCAAAUCUUCCUAGAAGACAUUUUCAAACACAUGAAGUUAAAGAAGUCAUAAACAAUCUCUGUCUGAUCACAGUUCUACAAGUGUAGCAAUUAUUUUCUAAUCAAUUUCAGAGGCAUAGAUCUUGGAACAAAAAUACAGUUUCAAAAGACUUUUAAGAGAAGCACACAAGGUAAAAAUCCUUUUCAGAAAGAAUUUUGCCUGGACAGAGAAAUCAGGACCAGUCCUGGUCAGUCUUAUGACAGAACUCUUCAGAAUCUUUAGUCACCUCAAAACGUUUCCUUUAUUUUCAUGUUAUAACAGAACCCAAUCUUCAAGUUUAGCAUGCUGUUUUUGUUUGUUUGUUUGUUUUUAAUGGUGGGAAAUUGUCUUUGCAUAACAGCAUCACUAGCCCUAAUUUUGUAAAUAUCAUUCUUCAUAAUCAAAAUUUAAAUUUGUAAAAAUAUUUGUUCUUCCUCUUUUCUGCUAGGAAAGGAAAAUUAUAUUUUUUAAUUAGGCAGAGGCAACAAACAAGAUGUGUAAUUAUGUUAUUAACAUGUGUGAAUUCAGAAUAAGAAGUCCUGUGACUCUUUGCUUG